GCCGGACGUAGUGGCGCACACCUGUAGUCCCAGAUACUCAGGAGACUGAGACAAGAGGAUCACUUGAGUCCAGGAGUUCUGGGCUGUAGUGCACUAUGUUGAUCGGGUGUCUGCACUAAGUUUGGCAUCAAUAUGGCGACCUCCUGGGAUCAGGGGGCCACCAGGUUGCCUAGGAUGGGGGUGAAUCAGCCCAGGUUGGAAACGGAGCAGGUCAAAACUCCCAUGCUAAUCAGGAGUGGGAUCGCAUCUGUGAAUAGCCACUGCACUCCAGCCUGGGCAACAUAGCGAGACCCUGUCUCUU
rfam:Otolemur garnettii contig182960, whole genome shotgun sequence.